GCAUAUCAAUAAGCGGAGGAAAAGAAAAUAACAAUGAUUCCCCUAGUAACUGCGAGUGAAGAGGGACAAGCUCAAAUUUUAAAUCUAUCGGGUUUUACCUGAUCGAGUUGUAAUUUGAAGAAGCGUUUUCUGCGUAUUUGGUCAGCCUAAGUCCUAUUGAAUGAGGCAUCAUGGAGGGUGAUAAUCCCGUCCGGUUGAUCAUUUGCGUUUUACGAUACGCUUUCUAAGAGUCAAGUUGUUUGGGAUUGCAGCUUAAAAUGGGAGGUAAAUUUCUCCUAAGGCUAAAUAACGGCGAGAGACCGAUAGCGAACAAGUACCGUGAGGGAAAGAUGAAAAGAACUUUGAAAAGAGAGUUAAACAGUACGUGAAAUUGUUGAAAGGGAAACGAUUGAAGCCAGUCGUACCUUCGGGUAAUCAGCCUUUCGGGUGCGAUUCUGUGGGGUUUGAGGAGCUUAACACCUUCAUGCUUUGCAUAUUCGUGCUCUUGGGUGUACUUGCCCGUGUGGUUGGUUAACAUCAAUUUUGGUGGUCAUAAAAUGACUGGAGGAAUGUAGCUUCGAUCUUGUAUUGAAGUGUUAUAGCCUUCGGUAGAUGUGAUGAUCGAGAUUGAGGAUUGCAACGGAUACCCUUCGGGGCUACCUGUCUGGUCUCUGAUCG
rnacentral:rRNA from 1 species